rnacentral:rRNA from 1 species
AGUCGAACGAGAAAGCUCCUUCGGGAGUGAGUAGAGUGGCAAACGGGUGAGUAACACGUGAGUAAUCUACCCCUGGGUGGAGGAUACCUUCGGGAAACUGAAGUUAAUCCUGCAUAAGCUUGAAAAAGGAAAGGUGGCCUCUUGCUACCGCCGAGGGAUGAGCUUGCGGCCUAUUAGCUUGUUGGUGGGGUAAUGGCCUACCAAGGCGAUGAUGGGUAUCCGGCCCGAGAGGGUGUCCGGACACAUUGGGACUGAGAUACGGCCCAGACUCCUACGGGAGGCAGCAGUGGGGAAUAUUGUGCAAUGGGCGAAAGCCUGACACAGCGACGUCGCGUGGAGGAUGAAGGUCUUUGGAUCGUAAACUUCUGUUAUGCGGGAAGAAAGACUGUCGGUUAAUACCCGGCGGGGAUGACGGUACCGCAAGAGAAAGCCCCGGCUAACUUCGUGCCAGCAGCCGCGGUAAUACGAGGGGGGCAAGCGUUGUUCGGAUUUACUGGGCGUAAAGGGUGUGCAGGCGGCACUCUAAGUCAAGCGUGUAAUUUUGCAGCCUAACUGCAUUUUUGCGUUUGAAACUGGAGAGCUAGAGGCUGGAAGAGAGGAAUGGAAUUCUCGGAGUAGCGGUAAAAUGCGUAGAUCUCGAGAGGAACACCGGUGGCGAAGGCGGUUCCUUGGUCCAAGUCUGACGCUCAUACACGAAAGCGUGGGGAGCAAACAGGAUUAGAUACCCUGGUAGUCCACGCCGUAAACGAUGAUCACUGGAUGUGUGAUCCCUUCGGGGAUUGUGUGUCGAAGCUAACGCGAUAAGUGAUCCGCCUGGGGAGUACGGUCGCAAGAUUAAAACUUAAAGGAAUUGACGGGGGCCCGCACAAGCGGUGGAACAUGUGGUUUAAUUCGACAAUCCGCGAGGAACCUUACCUAGGCUUGACAUGCAGUUGCCCUUCUUUGAAAAAAGAACUUCCGAGUUUACUCGGACGACUGUGCAGGUGCUGCAUGGCUGUCGUC